ensembl:lncRNA
UGUGUAUGGGCGCAACCAAGUGCAUAAUUGGAGGGGGGCACUCACCCAUUUUCCUUAACAAACGGAAAUAUAUUAAAAAUGAGUAGACGUAAAUAAAUAGAAUAGAUGAAAAGACAGAUCAGUUUGAAAGGUUCAUUAAAGGGGGACAUAUAGAAAACAUUUUCUACUGUAUAUUGGGAGGGAAAGAUUGGUAUUACCUCAACAUUGGCGGGGACACGCCCCCCCCUCAAAAAGAAUACGUGGUUACGCCCAUAGUUGUAGGAGACACAGCAGCGACGGAGUCGGAGUAGGAGACACAUUUUUCCUCAGGAGUCACGACACAGCAGACACGGGGUUUUCUUUCUUCAAUUUUAACUUUUCUCAGGAGUUUAAGUCAUCUGGUAGGCGUGGUUGAGUGCGCAGGUGCGUCAUUCAAACCGAGCGAGAUGACCGUUGAGGAUCAGACAGCGCGAGACAGCUCCUUUCAGGGUGGUUCCUACUAGGUCUGCUAAUGGGACCGCCCUCCUGACUGGCUGCCUAUAAAGUCACCCGCUCUAGCGGUGCUGAGCAGCGAGAUGUCACAGAGAAGAGUGUGUCCAGUUUGUCGGCGUUUCUACACCAACGUGCAGGCUCAUCUCGCCCAGAUUCAUCAGCAGGGUCCAGAGGAACGCUGGCUUCACCUGGCGGCAGCGAGCGAGCGGGUGAUAUGCGGGUGCUCUGGACUGCCCGGUGUCUGCAUGUGGCAAGAAAGGUUUCCGCCGGCUAGACUGCCACCUGUUCCACCUUCACCAGCUCGCCGGGGACACGGUCAGGAAGCUACUGCUCAGCGCCAAAAUAAAGCUGCAACAACUGCAAGCUUUCGGUGAGACGAACAAAUCUAAAAGUUGCAAAUGUUCUGAACUGAUCGAAAAGUAGCAAAACUCUCCGCAGAAUUUGAGCGGCUGCAAGCGAUAGUAGCCCGGAAAGAGUAGUGGCUCUGUGGAGCCAAUGUUAAGUGUACACGGCUUGGCUGACAAGUCUCAGAGAUGUCCCCAAAGCCGCGGCCAACGGCAAGCAGGAGAGGAGACACGUCGAGCGCUUCCUUCACUUUAUGUGGGCCAACACAGACAGUCCCCUGGCAGCUGCUGGCUCAUUACCCAAAAACACUUAAAAUUUAACAUAGAAGCCAAUACUCACAUCAACCUCUGAACCCAGUUGGAGAUAGAAAAAAAGACACCAGCCGUGAGUGAGAAGAAGCAAGGGUCCAGAUUUAUUGUUCCGUUCCACCACACGAGAUCCACACCGAUGAGAAUUCUCAGAAGUGAUCUGAUACCCUGAGCUUAAGCUCCAGUAUUUAUACUGUAAUUACACAGUAAAUAACCCAUAUGUUUCAAGAAGAC